rnacentral:miRNA from 1 species
UUAGAAAUGGACCAUGGAUGAUGU